UAGGGAAUCUUCCACAAUGGACGCAAGUCUGAUGGAGCAACGCCGCGUGAGUGAAGAAGGUUUUCGGAUCGUAAAGCUCUGUUGUUGGUGAAGAAGGAUAGAGGUAGUAACUGGCCUUUAUUUGACGGUAAUCAACCAGAAAGUCACGGCUAACUACGUGCCAGCAGCCGCGGUAAUACGUAGGUGGCAAGCGUUGUCCGGAUUUAUUGGGCGUAAAGCGAGUGCAGGCGGAAGAAUAAGUCUGAUGUGAAAGCCCUCGGCUUAACCGAGGAACUGCAUCGGAAACUGUUUUUCUGGAGUGCAGAAGAGGAGAGUGGAAUUCCAUGUGUAGCGGUGGAAUGCGUAGAUAUAUGGAAGAGCACCAGUGGCGAAGGCGACUCUCUGGUCUGCAACUGACGCUGAGGCUCGAAAGCAUGGGUAGCGAACAGG
rnacentral:rRNA from 1 species